rnacentral:lncRNA from 1 species
GGUUAAGUGUACAGCUAUUGAUUAGUGUUAGUUAGCUGACGAUUAGUUUUUAAUUAACAGUAGAAAGUUAGUUAGAGUUUUGUUAUUCAGUUAGACAGCUAGCUGCUUCUAUAUAAAGCAUUGUAAAACAUCUUUUCAGUUAGACUUGGACAUUCAAGUUUUUGAUCAAUGCAAAAUCUCUUUCUUCUCUGUUAAUCAGAGUUGUUAUGGAGAUUGCAUUGCUUGGACGGAACAAAUUGGGAUUCAUUGAUGGCUCUGUUUUGCGCACUGAUUUUGAAGGAAAUUUGAAGAAAAAUUGGGAUCGAUGCAAUGCAGUGGUCAUCUCUUGGUUAAUCUGUAAUGUUAGUAAGGAGUUACUAUCUGGAAUCUUAUACUCAACCAGUGCUUACCAGGUAUGGCUUGAUCUUAAGGAGCGUUUCGAUAAAAUCAAUGGAUCUAGACUCUAUCAAUUGCAUAGGACCAUUUUCACUCUUACACAGGGAGUCUCAACAGUUUCAACUUAUUUCACCAAAUUGAAAAAUUUGUGGGAUGAAUAUGAUUCUAUUUUACCCCCACCUAGUUGUGAUUGUCAUAAGGCUAAGGAGUAUGUUGAACAGAUGCAGUAUCAGCGUCUGUUACAGUUUCUAAUGGGGUUGAAUGAUAGUUAUUCACAAGCUAGGGGUCAAAUCUUAAUGAUGCACACCUUGCCUAAUGUGAAUCAAGCUUAUGCACUAAUAAUCCAGGAUGAAAGUCAGAAGGGAAUUGCAGGUCACAUUAGUGAAGGGAUGGAGUCCUUAGCUCUUUACACUGCUAGAAACAAUAAGCAGCAGCAGUAUCCCAGGAAGAAUUUUCAGUCUCUGUAUUGUGAUUUCUGCAACAUGAAAGGGCAUGUUAGGGCAGACUGUAACAAACUAAAGAAAUGUGACCAUUGUCAUGCUACUGGGCAUGUCAAAGGGGAUUGCUACCAAUUGAUUGGUUAUCUUGACAAUUUUAAAGGAAAGAAGAAGGUUAAUGCUGUGCUUGGAGGUAUGCAAGAUCACUUAGCAAUGGGAGGAGGUACAAUAUAUUCUCAGUCACAUUGUGUGCAGGAUCAAGUGGAUAGGAAGGCAUACAUGGGCAUAGAAGAACCAAUGCACAAUACCCAGGGCACACAUGAACAAAUACUAUUACAGCUGUUACACAAAUCUUCACCAGAUCAAAUUAAUACUAUGAUUGAUGCCUUGAAGAAAAACAGUUGCAGCAGCAGCAGUGUGAAUAUGACAGGUAAUCCUAGUUUAUGUUUGAAAUGGAUUAUAGACACAGGAGCUACAGAUCAUAUGAUAUGUGAUCACAACUAUUUGUAUGCUGGGAAUAUGGUAAAAAGUACAUGCAAAGUACAGCUACCUACAGGGGAUUUGGCCACAGUUACACAUAUUGGAAGUUUUCAACUAAAUGAGAGUGACCUGAUCAGUGAUGUCUUGUGCAUACCAGAUUUUAAGUUUAACCUCUUAUCUGUGAACAAACUAACAAAAGAAUUAAACUGCUCUGUUUCCUUCUUUCCCACACACUGUGUAUUUCAGGAUCUCUUGUCUGGGAAGGUCAAGGGGAUUGGUAGAGUAGAAGAUGGAUUGUAUGUGAUGCACUGGCCAGUAAAGCUACCAAAUGUGAAGAGCCACACAAUGUCUGCAGUUAAGGAGGGAGUUACAGAUCCAGGUCUUUGGCACAAGAGACUAGGACAUGUUCCUAUGGGAGUACUUAGAAGAAUAAAUGAGUUUAAAACUAGUAGUCGUUUUACUAUUGAUCAUUGUAUUGUUUGUCCACAAGCUAGACAGACUAGGAUUCCAUUUACUCAGAGUAGUACCACAGUAGCUAAUAUCUUUGACUUGGUGCAUAUGGAUGUCUGGGGUCCAUACAAAGUAACUACUCACAAUGGUAUGAGAUACUUUCUCACCCUAGUUGAUGAUAAGUCUAGAUGGACAUUGGACCUUCUUGCUUAGUUUGAAGUCUGAUGUAAUUGUUGUAUUGAAACAUUUUUUGACAAUGAUAAAGAAUCAGUUUGGAAAGUGUGUUAAGGUGUUCAGGUCAGAUAAUGGAGGUGAAUUUUUGAAUUCUAGCUGUUAUGAAUUAUUUGUGUCUCUUGGGAUCAUUCAUCAGAAAUCAUGUCCACACACUCCACAACAAAAUAGAGUUGCAGAAAGGAAGCAUAGACAUUUAUUAGAGAUUGCCAGGGCAAUCAAAUUCCAAAGUUCUUUGCCAAAUAGGGUCUGGGGAGAGUGUAUAGAAGCUGCAACCUACAUUAUCAAUAGGAUCCCUCUAUCUGUUCUGAAAAACAAGUCACCAUAUGAAAUAUUUUAUGGUAAAAAACCUUCAUUGACACCUCAGGGUGAUAGGUUGUCUUGUUUUUGCUACAAACUUGAACAUGAAUGAUAAAUUUGCACCAAAGGCAAGGAAAGCUAUCUUGCUUGGUUAUGCUACUAGCCAAAAGGGAUAUAAACUACUGGAUAUUGAAUCCAAAAUACAUUUUAUCAGCAGAGAUGUCGUAUUUCAUGAGGAUGUGUUCCCCUUUCAUGGCAGGAAUUAAUUCAUGGCGAUUGAGGAUGCAUCUGCAAACUUUAGGUCUUGGACAAGAAAAGGAUCAAGUUGUUUCAUUGUCUUAUUCACAUGUUGAAGAUUGUGACCUUACACCUUGUGUUGUUUUCAGAAAUACAGUAGAUGCCCUUGAAACUGUAACUCAACAAGUAGCUGUAACUGACUCAUUUUGUCAUGGUUCAACCAUUGAAUCUGAAGAUCCGGUACCCUUGGUUUCUUCUCCUGAACCAAGCAUUUUACCAACUCAGUUCCCUGUUGCUGCCAGAAGAUCCAACAGACCUGCAAAGCCCCCACUCUGGCAUACAUAUUACGUUUUAUCAAAGAACAAAGCUGCAGGUUAUUGCUCCUAUCCUAUUACAGAUGUGCUGGACUACCAAAGCAUCACACUUGCCUACAAAAGCUUUGUCACUAAGUUUUCACAAGAGAAGGAACCUGCUUCUUAUCAGGAGGUUAUACAAGAUCCUAAAUGGAUUACAGCUAUGCAAAGUGAAAUACAAGCAUUAGAAGACAAUCAUACAUGGGAGAUUACUACACUGCCUAAGGAUAAGAGGGCAAUAGGUUGUAAAUGGGUGUACAAGAUCAAAUAUAGGGCUGAUGGGGAAGUUGAUAGGUUCAAAGCAAGGUUGGUAGCCAAGGGUUACAAUCAAAAGGAAGGUUUGGACUAUCAGGAAACUUUUUCUCCUGUUGUAAAAUUGGUGACUGUUCGAUCCGUCAUAGCCUUAGCAGCUGCACAACACUGACAGGUACAUCAAAUGGAUGUAUUCAAUGCUUUUCUUCAAGGAGAUCUGACUGAAGAAGUUUACAUGGAAUUGCCUUUGGGGUUUGUCCAUCAAAGUGAGAAGGGGACAGGGACAGUAUGCAAGCUUACAAAGUCACUUUAUGGACUUAAACAGGCCAGCAGACAGUGGAAUAUCAAGUUGACCACAGCCUUAGCUAACUCAGGCUUCCAGCAGAGUCAUUAUGACUAUUCCUUGUUCACAAAACAUCAAGGAGAAAGGAUAGUGAUGGUACUUGUUUAUGUUGAUGACCUAUUGAUCACAGGUAAUGAUCACAAGUUGAUCUUGGAAACUAAGAAGAUUCUUCAAGACAACUUUAAGAUUAAAGAUCUAGGUGAGCUAAGAUACUUCCUAGGGAUUGAAUUUGCUAGAAACAGCAAUGGGAUCCUUAUGCAUCAAAGAAAAUAUUGCCUUGAACUGAUUUCAGAUAUGGGCUAUCUAGUUCAAAGCCUGUAGGUUCUCCUGUUGAGUUGAAUCAGAAACUUACAACUGCAGAAUUUGAUUUACACUUCCCUCCUACUGAUGAGCAGGAUAAGUUGUUGAGUGAGCCUGAAAUUUAUCAGAAAUUGGUUGGUAGAUUGCUCUAUUUGACAAUGACAAGGCCAGACAUUGCAUUUGCAGUGCAACUGCUGAGUCAAUUUAUGCACAGUCCUAAGACAUCCCACAUGAAGGCAGCAUUAAGGGUGGUGAUGUAUGUUAAACAAUCACCAGGCUUAGGGAUACUUAUGGCAUCUACUGCUGACAAUCACCUUACUGCAUAUAGUGAUGCAUAUUGGGCAUCAUGCCCAAACAAUAGGAAGUCCAUAACAGGAUACAUGGUUACAUAUGGGAACUCACUGAUUUCAUGGAAGGCCAAGAAACAGGACACUAUUUCAAGGAGCUCAGCUGAAGCUGAGUAUAGGAGUUUGGCUUCUACAGUUGCAGAGGUUGUGUGGUUGGUUGGUCUCUUUAAAGAAUUGGGGGUUCAAGUGAGGUUGCCAAUACACAUACACAGUGACAGCAAUCAGCUAUACAGAUAGCUGCCAAUCCAGUAUUUCAUGAACGAACUAAACAUAUAGAUAUUGAUUGUCAUUUCAUCAGGGAGAAGGUUCAACUGGGAAUAGUUCAACCAGUGUACUUAAAUACAACAGAGCAACCAGCAGACCUACUUACCAAAGGACUCACCUGUUUGCAGCAUAACUAUCUACUUACCAAGCUAGGAAUGAAGAAUGUUUUUCAUACACCUAGCUUGAGGGAGGAUGUUGAGAAGUUGGUUAAGUGUACAGCUGUUGAUUAGUGUUAGUUAGCUGACGAUUAGUUUUUAAUUAACAGUAGAAAGUUAGUUAGAGUUUUGUUAUUCAGUUAGACAGCUAGCUGCUUCUAUAUAAAGCAUCUUUUCAGUUAGACUUGGACAUUCACGUUUUUUAUCAAUGCAGAAUCUCUUUCUUCUCUGUUAAUCAGAGUUGUUCAGUUCUUCAGUUUAGCUUGUUGAGAGUUACUGAAAUUAACA